rnacentral:rRNA from 1 species
ACACUCCUACGGGAGGCAGCAGUGGGGAAUAUUGCACAAUGGGCGCAAGCCUGAUGCAGCCAUGCCGCGUGUGUGAAGAAGGCCUUCGGGUUGUAAAGCACUUUCAGCGGGGAGGAAGGCGAUACGGUUAAUAACCGUGUUGAUUGACGUUACCCGCAGAAGAAGCACCGGCUAACUCCGUGCCAGCAGCCGCGGUAAUACGGAGGGUGCAAGCGUUAAUCGGAAUUACUGGGCGUAAAGCGCACGCAGGCGGUCUGUCAAGUCGGAUGUGAAAUCCCCGGGCUCAACCUGGGAACUGCAUUCGAAACUGGCAGGCUUGAGUCUUGUAGAGGGGGGUAGAAUUCCAGGUGUAGCGGUGAAAUGCGUAGAGAUCUGGAGGAAUACCGGUGGCGAAGGCGGCCCCCUGGACAAAGACUGACGCUCAGGUGCGAAAGCGUGGGGAGCAAACAGGAUUAGAAACCCCUGUAGUCCCAUGA